UUAGAAUGAACAGUGCAGUAGCAAUAAAUGCGAGAAUAUUGACUUCCAUAACCUCUUUAUUUUUUAUUUUCACAAUAACUCGGGAUGUAAUCCCAUGGAGAGGAAAAAGGGGUAUCUUGUAAAUUCAAGGGUAGGGCUUGCAUUCUGAUAAUACUGAAUCAAUUCAAUAUUAUGAAUAUCGGAUCUAUCAAAUCAAUUCAUGGAUGAGAGUUAUAUAGUAUAACAUAGGAAGAUCCUAUAUCCAUACUAAGACCAAAAUGGGUUUUUUGAUUGGAUUAGGAAUUCCCUCUUUUUUAAUCCUUUUUUUUCUACUUUUUCUUUUCUAUAUCUCUAACCCACGAGCUUUCUUAAUCUUAUACAAUUUCUCUUCCUUUUUCUUAUAGUUAUACAUACAAUUAUGUAUGUAUUAUAUGAGCAACUUUCUAUGGGUCACAUAGAC
rnacentral:lncRNA from 1 species